AUUUUGAAGGGCUGGGAUGAUGCCACAUGGCAGCAGUUAGACAUAAGGGUAUAAUUGACCUCAUAGUAUAACUGUAAGGGUAUAAUUAGCCCUAAAGUAUAACGAAGGGUAUGAAUGAACUAUUUUUCAAAGUUCAGGGGUAAUUUUGGCCCUUUUCCGUUAUUUUAAUCCGUAACCCAUAACCCAUUUUCCCAUCCCAUAAAAUCAUACAACCCUAGUUCAUUUUAUUUUAGAAAGAGAGGAAAUCACCCCAUUUAUAGUAACAUACGCAGAUGGAUUUGGAAACUCCAGCGAAUCUAAUUUCUUGAAGGUUGGAUUCUCACUAGAUAUGGUACAGAAAAGGUCAAUGCCAAAUAAAUAAACAUAUUUGCAUUAAAACUUGCUUAGACAAUGCCAUGGUCAAUUGUAGACCAUGCAGCCAUGUUUUUUUUUUAUUGCAAGACCACGUAGAGUGAUGAUUAGUAUGAAACAUUAUUCUGGUUUUGUUUUGUUUUUUUGUUUGUUUGUUUUUUUUUUUUUUUUUUUUGGAGAGAUGAGGAAACUGGGGAUUCCUUUUGAUGAUUAUAGCUUGACUAUUGUGAUUAAUUCUUUUUGUUUGUUGGGUUGUGCUGAACAUGGAUUUUCAGAGCUGAGUAUUUUCUUGAAGAAUGGUGUUGAGUUUAAUAUUGUUACCUUCAGUACUCUUAUAAGGGGACUUUUUGAACAAACUAAGAUUAAGGAUGCCAUGUGGUUGCUUAAUAAGCUGGUAACAGAGAGAAUUUGUAAGAUGGAUGAAGUUAUGUUUGGUAUUGUCAUGAAUGGGUCUGUUUUAUACUACUUUUUAGGGGUUGGGAGCCUACGUGUUUUUUUUUUUUUUUUUUUUUGUGUGUUGUGGAGUUCAAGUCACAAUUUCAUCCAUAGAAGGGCAAAUUUAUCAAGUAUCUUAACCGAAAAAACAAAUUUGAUUCCAAAUUUUAUCGGAGGACAAAUUUAAACUAUAAAUUAUACUUGGAGGGUAAAUUUGACCCUUUGCCCAUCUCAGAAAGAUUAUGGAAUACAUUUAAAACGUGUAUGUAUUUAUCACCAUCUAUAAAAGACGAAGUUAUCCACAUCAACCAAAGAGUACACUUCUAAGUCUUAACUUUUUUUCGAUCUUCUCUUUCACUGUCACCAUGAAUCAAUUCUUCAAGAAUUCAAGACUGGUUGGUAGGUUCUUUCAUUUCAGUAAAAUAAACCAAAAAAAAUACUCAAAGGCCUCACCAAUUUUGCAAUAUUUCUGAGUCUUGGAGAUCUAUGGAAGGUCUUGUUAAAUGUGAUGCAAAUUUUUUUCCAUUGACACCCUUAAGUUUCUUGGAAAGAGCAGCUAAUGUUUUUAGAGAUAGAACUAGUGUUAUUUACGGGGAAAAAUUGAAGUAUAAUUGGGAAGAGACUCAUGAUAGGUGUGUAAAGCUUGCUUCUGCUUUGGUUCACUUGGGGAUUUCUCAUGGUGAUGUGAUUUUGGACGAAACGGGAGUUGAGUUUGGGCGAGCGUAAGACGCAAGUAAGGUAUGUAAAGCUAUCUCUUUCCUUCUUUUGGCAUGUCCUAGAUAUACUAGGUUUGGAUUUGAACCUCGGGAAAUAUUCUGCUCAUAGAAAUCCGAGUUUACUUUUUGCACUAUUCCAUUCAGCAUAAUUGUAUUAGAACUUUGAUAUUUUGUUGGAAAGAAUGUUCAAACAUUCGUAAUCUUCAUAAAUAUGACCGAAUCACCCCUAAGCUUUCAUGGAUGACUCCAUAAGGUCUAGUGUUUGUAAAUUUCGUACGCACCUCGACUUGACCCGAGGUGGGCCCACUAGUCCCGAGAUUUCCUUCGUAUGUCUUACUUAAUCUAUUUUUGUAUAAGAUAAAAAGGGGACUUUCGCCUACGAAUCUAAGGCUUCGUUUGAUUUGUUCCGUAAGUUGUUUGAAAGCUCCCUAGUGUGAAUGAUACUAAACUUUCAGAAAAUGGUUUGUGAGGCAUUUUUCGAAAGUGUUAUAAAAUUAAAGGCUCAUAUCUUUUGUAUACUAAUUCCGACAGACUCGAUACUUAAUUUGGGCUUUUUGAUAUCAAAAUAUAUGUAUAUGUAUCUAUUUGUCGAGUUUUGGAAUUUAAUUAUGUAUAUGCAUAUGAUUUCCGCACUACUCUGCUCGUGCCUACUACUAUGAUAUCGUUCGCCGGUUCCCGGGCCGGUUUUGUGAUCUUGCGCACUAUGACAAAUUCGACAGUAUGAUGUGUUACGGUUCCCGAGACCUCGCCAUAGGGCCGGGUACCGUUUAUGGAGUUAUGUUGUGAUAUGGCUUAUGAUACGAUUUGAUGAUGUGAUAUGUUAUGUUCGGGGUUGUACGGAGAUUUGAAACCUUCUAGAGUAUGCUGUGUUGUGGCACCAGUGUCGGAGUGGUGACCACGUUCCUGAGCCUUAUGCAUGAUUUCUGUUUGCAUUAUGUACAUAUGUCUUCAGUACAGGUUUUGAUAUAUUGAUCCGGUAUUUUCUCUCUGUACCUUUCACUUCAGUUGCAGUUUGGAUUUCUGUACUCUAUGCUUUACAUACUCAGUACAUCUUUCGUACUGACCCCCUUUCUUUGAGGGCUGCGUUUCAAGCCCGCAGGUACAGAGGUUCGCGAUCUGCCAGUGUAGGCCAUAUAUUCUGCUAUGACAGAGUGCUCCUUUUGAUCCGGAGCUCAUAUGUUGGUACAUAUCUUUUAUGAUGCAUAUAUUUCUGUACAUUUGACUAUUUGGGGUACGGCGGGGCCCUGUCCCGUCAUAUGACUCUGUUAUGAUUUGUAGAGGCCUGUAGUCAUAUAUGUGGGUCAUGGGUCACGUGUGUGUUCGUUUGUUUAUGAUCUGCGUCUUAAUGCGGUCCCGUUUACUAUUAUGGCCAAAAUGGCCCAUUUGUUUGUAUACGUGUAUGUAUCUGGCGAUGUAUAUUCCGCCAACCUAUCAGAUUUGAAUACGGCCAAAUGGCCUAUAUAUUUGUAUUUGUGUAUAUGCGCGGCGAUGUGUAUCCCGCCGCCCCUUUUGGCUUUGAUAUGA